rnacentral:rRNA from 1 species
AUUGAACGCUGGCGGCAGGCUUAACACAUGCAAGUCGAGCGGUAACAGAGAGAAGCUUGCUUCUCUGCUGACGAGCGGCGGACGGGUGAGUAAUGCCUAGGAAUCUGCCUAGUAGUGGGGGAUAACUUGCCGAAAGGUAAGCUAAUACCGCAUACGUCCUACGGGAGAAAGGAGGGGACCUUCGGGCCUUUCGCUAUUAGAUGAGCCUAGGUCGGAUUAGUUAGUUGGUGAGGUAAUGGCUCACCAAGACCGCGAUCCGUAACUGGUCUGAGAGGAUGAUCAGUCACCCUGGAACUGAGACACGGUCCAGACUCCUACGGGAGGCAGCAGUGGGGAAUAUUGGACCAUGGGGGGGAACCCUGAUCCAGCCAUGCCGCGUGUGUGAAGAAGGUCUUAGGAUUGUAAAGCACUUUAAGUUGGGAGGAAGAGCAGUUAACUAAUAUUUGACUGUUUUGACGUUACCGACAGAAUAAGCACCGGCUAACUUCGUG